rnacentral:pre_miRNA from 1 species
ACAAUAACAUUCGGACCGUCAGCCUACCGAGUAAAAUUUCACCCGCUCGGUGGAAGAUCUUCCCUUUGUUGUAUACC